UACUAAUGCAACUGCGAAUAGCUGUUUAAUACAGUCGUAAUUGUAUUGACUUAGUAUAGUAGUACACAUGAAUAGUUAUAAUUUGGAUAACUAAGGGAAAGUUUGGCUAAUACGUUUAAUUUUUUAAAAAUUAACAUAUAAUAAUAUUACAACAUGAUAGAUAUUAUAUAAAUAUUAUAAACACUUUAUUGUGUUUUAAAAUAUAGAGUAGACUUUAUAAUAAUUAUAAUUAUAAAGCAUGUCAAACAAACAUCUAUAGCAUCAAGUCACAAUGUUGGCAUGUGUAUUAUUGAACCUUCAAAGCAUUUACGCAUUCGGAGGAGUAGUUUCUGAUCCCGUCGAAGGUGCCUGAGAGACGGCACUUAGUUCUAAGGAACGCAGCAGGCGCGUAAAUUGCCCAAUGAGAAAACAUGAUAUUGAGGCAGUAACAAGCUGUAAAGAUUCAAUAUAUUAAUUAAGAUAACAUUUGGAAUUGUCCCUUUAUAAUAUUUUUAUAAAUAUUAUUUUGGUUGAUAAUAUACCAAUGUUAUAAAAUAUUGAAUUUGAAUGCGGUGAAUUUAAUAAUUUCAAGUAACAUGUAUAAAAUAAUUAAUAUUUUAUAUAUUAUCUGAAUAUUCAAGUGGAGGGCAAGNNNNNNNNNNNNNNNNNNNNNNNNNNNNNNNNNNNNNNNNNNNNNNNNNNNNNNNNNNNNNNNNNNGCUCGUAGUUGGAUUGAAUAUAUAUUAUAACAUUUUAUUUGUUUUUCAAUACUGUGAACAAACCAGAGUGUAUAAAACAUGUAAUAUUAAUUAUUAUGCAAUGAAUGUUUUAUCAUGGGAUAUUGCAUAUAUAAUUAAAAAUUAAUAUCGAUGAAGAUAGUUGGAGUUAAGAGUACUGAUAGGCGAGCGGUGAAAUGCAUUGACCCUAUUAAGACUAACAAAAGCGAAAGCACUUAACUAGAUUAUACUUUUUGUUUAUUUACAAUGAAGAGCGAAGGUUGGGGGAACAAAGAGGAUCAGAUACCCUCGUAGUCCUAUUUUUUACAUCAAACUAUGGGAUUUCAAUUGAAUAUUAUUUUAUAUAAUUAUUCAUUAUAUAUUCUUCAACUUAAUUAAAUAAUAUUUGAUUGAGUAUAAUUUUAAUAUACUCUCAUAUAAUUAUUUUUGUUGUAUUAUUUAAAUAAAUAAUUAAUAUUUUAAAUAUAAUUGAUUAUAUGUACUUUGCGCUCAUAUAAUAAUAUAGGUGAGAUGUAAGCAUUAUUGAUGAAUAAUUAUUUUAUAUAUUNUAUUAUAUAUAAUUAAUAUAUUAUAAAUCAAAUUAAUAAAAAUGUAAUGUGAUGCACGUUUUAGGUACGAGCUUACUAUAGAAAUAUUUAAAAUAAUACCCUCCUGGGGUAGUAUGCACGCAAGUGUGAANNNNNNNNNNNNNNNNNNAAGGGCACCACAAGAACGCGUGGAGCAUGUGGCUUAAUUUGACUCAACGCGGGAAAUCUUACCAGGUCCAGACAUAUUGAGGAUUGACAGGUGAUAGUUUAUAUUUUUUUAAAAAAUAUAAGCAUAAAUAUGAUAGUCCUUUCAUGAUUAUAUGAUAGGUGGUGCAUGGCCGUUCUUAGUUCGUGGAGUGAUUUGUCUGCUUAAUUGCGUUUCAGUAAAAUAAAAUAUAUUUAUAUACAAUUAAUAUUUUAGUUCUGCCUUAUAUUUUUAAGGAUUUUUAAGUGAACAUAUUAUUGUUAUUAAUAUAUAAUAAAUGAAUGCAACGAACGUGACCGUAACCUUUUAUUGCUAUAAUAUAUUAUAAUAUAGCAUAAAAUUAAAGGAACCGCUGUCAUUAUUAUAUGUGUUAAAAUAGAGUAAGAAUACGGCAAUAACAGGUCUGUGAUGCCCUCAGAUGUUCUGGGCUGCACACGUGCUACAAUAAUUACAUUAAUAAGUAUAUAUUUUAAAUAAAUACAUUAAUAUAUAUUAUUAUUGUAUUAUAAUUAACCUAUUUCGAAAGUAAAUGGGUAAUCAUUUAAAAAUCGUGAUUUAUAAUAAAAAUAUAAUAACUAAUUUAAGGUGGGGAUAGUGUAUUGUUAAUUAUUACACUUGGCCUUAACUAGGAAUGCCUUGUACUCUUCUUUGGUUUAACAUACCAAGAGGAAUACGUCCCUGCCCUUUGUACACACCGCCCGUCGCUCUUACCGAUGAAUUAUAUUAUAAAUCUAAGGGACUUUUAAUAUAUUUUAUUAUAUAUAUAGAAACUUAUAUACAUAAUGUGAUUUAAAGGAAAGAGAAGUCGUAACAAGGCAUCAGUAGGUGAACCU
rnacentral:rRNA from 1 species